GUGAGUUAGAUCUAACCUGACCAGGUUUCCCUGCUCUGGAAAAGAAGUUGAGAUUGGCAGCAAGGAAAUUUGUGACUAAGCACAGUGCUCUCUGCUAUGGCCUGGGAAAGCAGUAAAGGAUGCCCCAAGAGCUUGGGUCCAUGCACCCUUGUGGGAGAUCCAGAGAAAGCUCCUGGCUCCUGGUUCCUGGCUCCUUGGUUUGGAUCAGCACAGCUCUGGCUGUUGCAGCCAUUUGGAGAAUCUAACCAGAAUGAUCUGGCUGCAGUAAUGGUGUCUGGAUUGGAGAAGAAGAAGUAGAGUCGUCUUUAUUCAAAGAUAGUAUGAUCUUACAUUUAGAAUGUCAUAAUAUUCAUUAAAAGUAUUGAAGUUAAUAAGUGA